rnacentral:misc_RNA from 1 species
GAUGAAGAACGCAGCGAAAUGCGAUAAGUAAUGUGAAUUGCAGAAUUCAGUGAAUCAUCGAAUCUUUGAACGCACCUUGCACCCUUUGGUAUUCCGAAGGGUAUGCUCGUUUGAGUGUCAUUGUACUCUCACACUUCUAAUUCCUUUCGGGAUUGGGAGCGGUGGACUUGGGUGUUGCUGCUUUAGUUGUGGCUCACCUCAAAUAAGUUAGUGCAACUCUUGGUUGGACAUAGUACGGCGUGAUAAGUGUCUUCGCCGGCGCCUCUGUAAGGAGGGUGGCCGAUCGGGAGCUCUGUGCUUCAAACCGUCUUCGGACAAUCUUUGACAACUUGACCUCAAAUCGAGUAGGACUACCCGCUGAACUUAAGCAUAUCAAUAUGCGGAGGA